rnacentral:rRNA from 1 species
CCGGGGAUCAGCGGCGAACGGGUGAGUAACACGUGGGCAACCUGCCCUCAGCUCUGGGAUAACUCCGGGAAACCGGGGCUAAUACCGGAUACGACUUCCUGCGGCAUCUCGGGAAGUGGAAAGUUUUUCGGCUGAGGAUGGGCCCGCGGCCUAUCAGCUUGUUGGUGGGGUAAUGGCCCACCAAGGCGACGACGGGUAGCCGGCCUGAGAGGGCGACCGGCCACACUGGGACUGAGACACGGCCCAG